rnacentral:ncRNA from 12 species
GGGUCCGAGAAAAAUUCUCGGAGGGUUGUUUGAUGGUCGGGCCGCCAUCU